GGGUGCGAUCAUACCUGCACUAAUGCAGCGGAUCCUAUCAGAACUCCGCAGUUAAGCGUGCUUGGGCGAGAG
rfam:Gossypium arboreum cultivar AKA8401 contig_320557_1, whole genome shotgun sequence.